rnacentral:rRNA from 1 species
GCUUGUCUCAAAGAUUAAGCCAUGCAUGUCUAAGUACAAGCCUCAGUAAGGUGAAACCGCGAAUGGCUCAUUAAAUCACACCUAAUCUACUGGAAAGUUACUAGUUACUUGGAUAACUGAGGUAAUUCUUGAGCUAAUACAUGCGAAAAAUCUCGACUCACGGAGAGAUGCUUUUAUUAGACCAAGACCAAUGAUCUUCGGAUCUGCAAUUAUGGUGACUCUGGAUAACUAAUGGCGUAAAAACCAUGAAGCUGACCCUAUGUCCCGAGGUGGCAACAUCUCACAGCGGCGAGGGCAAAUCAUUCGAGUGUCUGCUCUAUCAACUGUCGAUGGUAGGUUAUAUGCCUACCAUGGUUGUAACGGGUAACGGGGAGUUAGGGCUCGACUCCGGAGAGCAGGCCUGAGAAACGGCCAGCACAUCUAAGGAAGGCAGCAGG